GACGAACGCUGGCGGCGUGCUUAACACAUGCAAGUCGAGCGGUAAGGCCCUUUCGGGGGUACACGAGCGGCGAACGGGUGAGUAACACGUGGGUGACCUGCCCUCAGCUCUGGGAUAAGCCUGGGAAACCGGGUCUAAUACCGGAUAUGACUCCAUGACGCAUGUUGUGGGGUGGAAAGCCUUGUGCGGCUGAGGAUGGGCCCGCGGCCUAUCAGCUUGUUGGUGGGGUGAUGGCCUACCAAGGCGACGACGGGUAGCCGGCCUGAGAGGGCGACCGGCCACACUGGGACUGAGACACGGCCCAGACUCCUACGGGAGGCAGCAGUGGGGAUCUUGCGCAAUGGGCGAAAGCCUGACGCAGCGACGCCGCGUGAGGG
rnacentral:rRNA from 1 species